GUCAUAUCUGUGUGAGCUUGUUGAAAAUGAAAAUAACGGAGUGGUGGAAGUUAACAGCUAGUUAGAGAUAAAUUGUCUGCUCUAGCUGACAUUAGUAUCUUAAUGUAGAAAUUAAAAAGUGUUAAAUUCUUCCUGCCUCAUUAAGAGCCCUGAUUACUUUAUUGCCCAAACCGGGCAAACCUUGCAACAAAUGUGAAAAUCUAAGACCAAUAAGUCUUCUUAAUGUCGACUUAAAGAUUCUUUGCAAAAUUUUGGCUCGAAGAUUGGAGAGAAUAUUGCCCGAAAAAAUUACUUGUGAGCAAAAUGGGUUUAUUGUAGGUAGACAGGGAUUUCAUAAUGUGAGACGUGUGCUGGAUAUUAUUUAUAAUAUGGGGGAAAAAACCCAGACACUUCUUUGCUAUCAUUGGAUGCCAAAAAGGCCUCAGGCUCUAUUUAUUUGAAAAGAUUUGGCUGUGGGGACAAUUUCUGUCGACUGGUUAAACUUUUAUACAACGAGCCUUAUGCUGAAAUAGUAACAAAUGGAGUUAUAUCUAAAUCAUUUAAAAUUAAACGAGGUUGUAGGCAAGGGCCUCAGACAAGGUGAAC